UGACAUUUACUUCAAAACCAGGAGCCUUCACACAGCCACCCUUAGCUCCUGAGAGAGCCCCAAAGAGAAGGAGCUGACAGUGGAGCUGAGGAAGAACUGAAUUAAUGCAUACAAGAAGCACCUGCUUUGUGUCUCCAACUCUCUCAGCUUAAUCAGAGCCCAGGGCAAUACUGCUUAAUGUCAAAAUUACCCACUCCCUUUGCUACCAAAAGACAUCAGUGGUCUGAAACCAGAGCAUACAUUUCCUAGGAGUGCAAACACUGACAAAUUUAAGAACAAAUCUGGGAGUGAUCCUGAGCCUUCUGACAGUGGUGAAACUUUAAACCUGAAAAGAAGAAAACCACUUUUUUUAGUGUUUGAAGAACCCCUCAUUUUCAACAUUGCCUGUUGAAGAAAGGCCAGACUUUGUGCUAAGCAUUCUGAGCAGGGCAUAAAAAAACCCAGUAAAACACAGUGUACAGGGAUAAUCCCCACUCAGGAGAUCAAUCUCAAAAUGCUCUCAUGGGGAACCAUUGGUUGAAUGUGAAUCCAUCACAGAUACUCCUGGCAAAACCAAAUUUCAAAGUUUUAUCUGUGCAUGGGGGCUGCUAACCUGCAGUUCUGAAAGGAAACUCUGCCAUGAGAACCAUUCCAUUUUUCCACACUGUGAAGAAGACACAGACUACACCCACAAGGUUUAAAACAUUGACAGUUCUAUAAAGGUUUCCAGCAUUUAAAAAAAAAUUCCUGAGUAGAGACUAGGAUGGUUACUUGACAUCAAAACAAAAUCAUAUCUGAUUUAUUUUCUAUGUUGCACUGCACAUCAACAACAACCUCAAAAAAUCAGUAUUAUCCACCUAACAUUCUGACCAAAACAAAGUAACUUCAGUCACUACCUGAGACAUUGUUGAAAGAAGUUUAAAAGUACCUCAAAAACAAUUGAUGGAUGGCUUUGUGAACUUCCAUGAUACUUAAACAAGGACACAUCUUGCUGGAAUUCUCUAAAUUGUACAAGGGAAUGGACUGAUCGCUGACCAUA